rnacentral:lncRNA from 1 species
GUGAUCCAUAGUGCAGUUGUUGGGAAAAUACCACAACAAAAAUCUUAUUGUGAUUAAAAUCUAAAUAGUUCUGUGAUGAAAAUUAAUAAAUAAAUCAACAUACAGAUAAACACAAAUAUCUCAAUAAAGAUUUCAUCUUAUCCGCAAGCGUGCAAGGCACUGCCCUAAGGCGUAUUUUCGUCCUUACAUGCGGGAUUAAUCAGGAAUAACAUUCCAAGGUACCAUCGGAAAUAAUCCUCCUGCGAACACGAUCGUGAAAGAGGUUGACGGAGAUUUUUUCAACACCAAGUGGAUAAGGAAAAUGUUCGAAAAGAUGAAAGAUAGAAAGAAUAAAUGAAUAAGGAUUAAUCAAUUAUCUAAUAUCUUUUCUACCUACUCUGUCUGAACAGAGGAAGAAAAGAGGAAGGGAAUUUCACGCUCUUUUUCGUUACGAGAACGUGAUUCCGUUUGGCUGAAGAAACGGAAUGGAAAAAUAUCCCGUUGGUUUUUUUUUCACUAAGAAAAGAAAUAAAAUAAAUAAAUAAAAUAAUAAACUUAACAAAUAAAAAUUUCGAUAAAAUAGUAAAUAUAUAAAUUCAAAUUUUAAAUGGAAUAAAAUUCAUUUUAAACUUUUGAGUUUUUCACCAACAAUGCCCCACAAAACUCAAAAUUUUAAAAUAUAAUUAAAGUCAAAAAAAAUUACUGGGUAUUUAUACUAUGCAAUGAGUUAGGUAUCUUUAAGAAACUUAAUUCCACUUAGUGUAAGUAAUUCCUUCAAAAGGAAUCGGAGUGAAUCAGAUCUUGAAUUACGUUUCUUCGACCCUAACUUCAACCACCACACAUACAGUAUAAAAUUCUCCGUCGCAGAUUUGUGCGUUAAUGGCCAUACACAGUAUCUUGAUUUUUCAUAAGAGUUUCUAAGGAUAGCCCACAUCCCAUAGCCGCGGCCACAUACGGAUACUCUUAUAUAUGUGGUUUUCUUCAGAAAUGUGUGUAGAGUCACAUCAAGUAGAAAUUACCGCCUUGGAUCCCAUUAAAAGCUAUUAACUCAACCUAAUCCACUAUACAGAGCACUACUCACCAUAGCAAUGGGAUUUGAACUAAAACUCCUCUAUAAAAUUUGUAGAAAAUAAUUUUUGGCCAACCUGACAGCUUGUUUUUACCAUAUUGAAUCUUUUUCAAAUGAUCUCCUAUCACAAAGGUUGAGCUCCCACUGCAGGAAGGUCCUUUAUGGGCAAAGCCCCAUCCCCUCAAUGAUAUCAGGACCUUAAUCCUAUUCAGACCUUUUAUUAAGUAAUCUGAAAAAUUUUAUUAGAUCUGAUAAAAUUUAAAACAAUAAUAUUAUGAGAAAUUAGUUAUCAGAUAAUCUUUUAU